rnacentral:rRNA from 1 species
UCGAACGGUAACAGGCCUUCGGGCGCUGACGAGUGGCGGACGGGUGAGUAACGCGUAGGAAUCUGCCUUGUAGUGGGGGACAACGUGGGGAAACCCACGCUAAUACCGCAUACGCCCUACGGGGGAAAGCGGGGGAUCUUCGGACCUCGCGCUAUGAGAUGAGCCUGCGUUAGAUUAGCUAGUUGGUAGGGUAAAGGCCUACCAAGGCGACGAUCUAUAGCUGGUCUGAGAGGACGAUCAGCCACACUGGGACUGAGACACGGCCCAGACUCCUACGGGAGGCAGCAGUGGGGAAUAUUGGACAAUGGGCGCAAGCCUGAUCCAGCAAUACCGCGUGUGUGAAGAAGGCCUUCGGGUUGUAAAGCACUUUCAAUUGGGAGGAAAACCUGCCGGUCAAUACCCGGUAGCUUGACAUUACCUUUAGAAGAAGCACCGGCUAACUCCGUGCCAGCAGCCGCGGUAAUACGGAGGGUGCGAGCGUUAAUCGGAAUUACUGGGCGUAAAGCGUGCGUAGGUGGUUCGUUAAGUCAGAUGUGAAAGCCCCGGGCUCAACCUGGGAACUGCAUUUGAAACUGGCGGACUAGAGUUUAGUAGAGGGGGAGUGGAAUUUCAGGUGUAGCGGUGAAAUGCGUAGAUAUCUGAAGGAACACCAGUGGCGAAGGCGACUCCCUGGACUC